rnacentral:rRNA from 1 species
AGAGUUUGAUCCUGGCUCAGGAUGAACGCUAGCGACAGGCUUAACACGUGCAAGUCGAGGGGCAGCGGGGGAGAAAGCUUGCUUUCUCCUGCCGGCGACCGGCGCACGGGUGAGUAACACGUAUGCAACCUGGCCGUCACAGGUGGAUAACCGGAAGAAAUUCCGACUAAUACAGCAUAACACUCCUGAGGGACAUCCUUCGGGAGUCAAAGGAGGCGACUCCGGUGACGGAUGGGCAUGCGGCGCAUUAGGUAGUUGGUAGGGUAACGGCCUACCAAGCCGACGAUGCGUAGGGGUUCUGAGAGGAAGGUCCCCCACAUUGGAACUGAGACACGGUCCAAACUCCUACGGGAGGCAGCAGUGAGGAAUAUUGGUCAAUGGCCGGAAGGCUGAACCAGCCAAGUCGCGUGAGGGAAUAAGGCCCUAUGGGUCGUAAACCUCUUUUGUCAGGGAGCAAAGGCGUCCACGAGUGGACGAAAGGAGAGUACCUGAAGAAAAAGCAUCGGCUAACUCCGUGCCAGCAGCCGCGGUAAUACGGAGGAUGCGAGCGUUAUCCGGAUUUAUUGGGUUUAAAGGGUGCGUAGGCGGAGUGUCAAGUCAGCGGUAAAAUUUCGGGGCUCAACCCCGUCGUGCCGUUGAAACUGACG